CGCUCACCCCGCACGUCAUCAAUCACUAUCAAGAAUCCAACUCCCUCGUCAAAGAGUAUUCACUAAUCCCGUCGCAAGUUUGCGAGCAAGAAAAGAUCGAUUUCGUGCAGAAGAAAUCCACCGACGCGGUCAUGAUCAAGUUGAAAACCGAACUCUACCAACAAGUGCUCGAUUUUCAAAAGGCGAAAAUCGGAACCGAAACCCUCUCCGAGCUAAUGUCGAUGAAAUCCAAGUGGGAUAAUACGAAUAACAAGAUUCCGAAAGUCACCGUAAUUCUAAACCAUUUCAAGAGAAAGACACUAUGCGCCCAAAUCGACUCCCUACUCCACCAAACGCUCCCUUUCCACCACGUUUGGGUACUUUCGUUCGGAAGCCCGAACGAGCAAUCUCUAAAGAGAAUAGUCGAGAGCUACAACAACUCCAAAAUAAGUUUCAUAAGCUCGAGCUACGAUUUCAAGUACUACGGUAGAUUCCAAAUGGCGCUACAGACGGAAGCGGAUCUUGUCUACAUCCUAGACGACGACAUGAUACCCGGUACGAAGAUGCUGCAGGUCUUGUCACACGUGGCGGGUACGGAAAAGUACAAGAACUCCGUACUAGGUAGCAUCGGAAGGAUUUUGCCCUUCCGACAGAAGGACUUCACUUUCCCGAGCUAUAGAAAGUUCCGUUCGAAGGAGGCUGGCCUUUAUUUGCCCGACCCUGCUUACGACAUCACCCUUGACCGAGUCGUGCAGGUUGACUUUUUAUCGAGCUCUUGGUUUCUCUCCGCCGAGCUAGUGAAGACCCUCUUCAUCGAGACGCCUUUCACUUUCAUGACAGGGGAAGAUCUGCACUUGAGUUAUCAGCUACAAAAGUAUAGAAAUGCGGGUUCGUUCGUUUUGCCUGUGGAUCCGAAGGAUAAAGAGACAUGGGGAGACAGCGAGCAUAGAUUGGCUUACGUGGCAGAAACAACUGUGAUCUUUAAGGAUAUUGUCCAAGUACGAGACGAUCAAUGGUGGAAAGCGCUCUCCAACGGGUAUAUAACUCAGUGGGCCGCUAUGAACCCUCAAAAGAUCGACGCCCUUUUCUACGCGCACUCCAUUGAAGAGGUAAAGACCCUUUCUCCCCUCCUCGAAAAAUUCCGAACUACCGUGGGGAAGAAGGCCUACAUAGUCGUCUCGGGCGGGGGUUUCUGCCCCUGCGAGGAGGCGGCGGUGGCUUUGAAGUGGCCUAAGUCGGUGUGCAAGGAGAGACGGUUCAAGAUUUUCGAUCUCGGGAUUGGUGCGAUAUCCACUGCGGUUUCCGACUCGGAGGUUCCCGUUUUUCAAGGUGUGUAUGCUAGCAUGAAAGGGUUGAUCAAGAUUCAUAAUCCGAGUGUGGUUAUUGCGGUUUCUGAUAUCGAAACGAAUGUCAAGAAGGCGUUGAAAAUGGCUGCUGAAACGAAUUUGAACGGCUCGACUUUGGUGCUUUUGCCGAGAUCUACGGUGCCGAAGGCACUUUGGAUGGCCGAUCUUCGACCGACGGCGUUGCCUAAUUGGAAUCGAAUGAGGCUAUCAAUAAAGCAUCAUCACGCAAAACCGCGUCAAUUCCCUCACGCGCCUCCUAAAGUCCCUAUCAAACGCCUACUACUUGGGCGACGAGGUGGCGAUCACCUUCAACAUGGACAGCAAAGUCGACGAGGCCACACUAAAGCUCGCAAACUCGUUCGAGUGGGCCCACGGCCCGAAGAUCCUCCGCCGCAGGAUCAUCCAGGGCGGAUUGAUCCGUGCCGUAAGCGAGAGCUGGUACCCUUCGUCGGACGACAACUUCGGCCUCUUACUCGAGGACGAUAUCGAAGUCUCCCCAUACUACUACCUAUGGAUAAAGAACGCUCUUUUAUCCUACCACUACGAUCCACAAGUACAAUUACCUGAAUUAGCCUCGAUUUCUCUGUACACGCCGCGUUUGGUUGAGGUAGUGAAGGAGAGGCCGAAGUGGAAUGCGACGGAGUUCUUCAAAGGGAUACACCCAAACACGCCCUAUCUGCACCAAUUGCCCUGUAGCUGGGGCGCCGUGUUCUUCCCCAAACAAUGGAGGGAAUUCUACGUGUAUAUGAACACUAGGUUUACGGAGGAUGCGAAGCAGAAUCCAGUGCAGAUUCCGAAAUCGAGGACGAACGGGUGGCAGGCUUCGUGGAAGAAGUUUCUGAUUGAUAUGAUGUAUUUGAGGGGUUACGUGAGUUUGUACCCUAAUUUCCCAAAUCAGGCGAGCUUUUCGACGAAUCAUAUGGAGCCCGGCGCGCACAUUAGCGCCAAGGACAAUGUCGUGAAGCACGAUAAAUCGGAUUUCGAGGUGCCGCUGUUGGCGAGGGAUUUUAGGGAUUUGUUGCCGAAUGGGAAAUUGCCGCCGGUGGGGAAGCUGCCGGCGUUGAAUUUGUUCAAUCAGGCGGUGUCGUUGAAGGGGUUGAAGGCUGCCGGAGCUAAGCUAGGGCAGGAUGUACUGGAGUGCGGCGCGGCGGAGGUGGUGGUGGUGGAUCGGGAAACGGGUUUGGCUUCCCAUUGCGCCAAGUUCUGAUUGGUUGAUUUUGAGCUGCUUGUUUUUUUUUUAUUAUUAAAUUAUUGUUUAUUUUUAGCUGU